CCUACGGGUGGCAGCAGUGAGGAAUAUUGGUCAAUGGACGAGAGUCUGAACCAGCCAAGUAGCGUGAAGGAUGACUGCCCUAUGGGUUGUAAACUUCUUUUAUAUGGGAAUAAAUUGUUCUACGUGAGGGAUUAUGAAUGUAUCAUAUGAAUAAGGAUCGGCUAACUCCGUGCCAGCAGCCGCGGUAAUACGGAGGAUCCGAGCGUUAUCCGGAUUUAUUGGGUUUAAAGGGAGCGUAGGUGGAUUGUUAAGUCAGUUGUGAAAGGUUGCGGCUCAACCGUAAAAUUGCAUUUGAAACUGGCAGUCUUGAGUACAGUAGAGGUAGGCGGAAUUCGUGGUGUAGCGGUGAAAUGCUUAGAUAUCACGAAGAACUCCGAUUGCGAAGGCAGCUCACUGGACUGCAACUGACACUGAGGCUCGAAAGUGUGGGUAUCAAACAGGAUUAGAUACCCGAGUAGUC
rnacentral:rRNA from 1 species